UACCAGCACCCCGAGUGGUCGGGACGAUUAUUGGGCCUAAAGCAUCCGUAGCCGGUUUUACAAGUCCUCCGUUAAAUCCAGCUGCUUAACAGAUGGGCUGCGGAGGAUACUAUAAGACUAGGAGGCAGGAGAGGCAAGCGGUACUCAGUGGGUAGGGGUAAAAUCCGUUGAUCCAUUGAAGACCACCAGUGGCGAAGGCGGCUUGCCAGAAUGCGCUCGACGGCGAGGGAUGAAAGCUGGGGGAGCAAACCGG
rnacentral:rRNA from 1 species